rnacentral:sRNA from 12 species
UGCCACUUGGCAAAAAUUAAGCCGACCAAGAGGUAUGGGUUAGUAAGAUUGCCGAAAAUCCAUAAGGCUUAUAAGUAA